GUAGCUCAGUUGGGAGAGCGCGUCGUUCGCAAUGACGAGGUCAGGGGUUCGAUCCCCCUAGGCUCCACCA
rnacentral:tRNA from 1 species